rnacentral:rRNA from 1 species
GCGGGAAACCUUUACAAUGCACGAAAGUGCGAUAGGGGAACCCAAAGUGCUCGCUUACAGCGGGCUUUUGCCAAGUCUAAACAGCUUGGCGAAUAAGUGGUGGGUAAGACCGGUGCCAGCCGCCGCGGUAACACCGGCGCCACGAGUGGGGGUCACGAUUAUUGGGCCUAAAGCGUUCGUAGCCGACCUUGUAAGUCUCUUGUGAAAUUGUCAGGCUUAACCUGGCGAAUGGCAAGAGAUACUGCUUGGUUAGGGACCGGGAGGAGGCAGAGGUACUCUUUGGGUAGCGGUAAAAUGCUAUAAUCCUUAGAGGACCACCUGUGGCGAAGGCGUCUGCCUAAAACGGGUCCGACGGUGAGGAACGAAAGCUGGGGGAGCAAACCGG